rnacentral:rRNA from 1 species
GAUAAACGCUGGCGGCGUGCCUUAUGCAUGCAAGUCGAACGAGACCAAGGCUUCGGCCUGAAGUCUAGUGGCGGACGGGUGAGUAACACGUACGUGACCUGUCCGGAAGUGGGGAAUAACCAGCCGAAAGGUUGGCUAAUACCGCAUACGGUUACUGCUUGGAAGCAGCAAACCAAAGUCGCAAGACGCUUCCGGAGGGGCGUGCGGCCGAUUAGCUUGUUGGUGUGGUAACGGCGCACCAAGGCGGUGAUCGGUAGCUGGUCUGAGAGGAUGGUCAGCCACACUGGGACUGAGACACGGCCCAGACUCCUACGGGAGGCAGCAGUAAGGAAUAUUGCGCAAUGGGCGAAAGCCUGACGCAGCGACGCCGCGU